rnacentral:misc_RNA from 1 species
AAUCCGAGAAUUUCACCUCUCGCUUUACGGUACGAAUGCCCCCGUAACUACUCCCAUUAAUCAUUACCUCGGCCCCCAAAAACCAACAAAAUUGAGCCGAGGUCCUUUUCCAUUAUUCCAUGCAACAACAUUCGGGCGUAAAAUAUAUCUGCCUGCCUUUGAGCACACUGAUUUUCUCAAAGUAAACGUGCUUGCCAUUGUAGACACCCGAUUAAGAGCAUCUAACAACAACUCAAGCGUAUAUGAUUUAAAUUUAAUAGUAACCGCGAAACUUGCGCGGACCACUAAAUUUAAAACUGACGUCCAACUACGAGCGUUUCAACCGCAACAACUUUAAUAUGCGCUAUUGGAGCUGGAAUUACCGC